rnacentral:rRNA from 1 species
UACGUAGGGUGCGAGCGUUAAUCGGAAUUACUGGGCGUAAAGCGUGCGCAGGCGGUCGUGUUGUCGGCGGUGAAAGCCCCGGGCUUAACCUGGGAAUGCCGUUGAAACUGGCGAACUGGAGUGUGGCAGAGGGACACGGAAUCCGGGUGGAGUGGUGAAAUGCGUAGAGAUCCGGAGGAACACCAAAGGCGAAGGCAGUGUCCUGGGGAGUACCGUGACCGCUCAGGUGCGAAAGCCAGGG